rnacentral:rRNA from 1 species
CCUACGGGCGGCUGCAGUGGGGAAUAUUGGACAAUGGGGGCAACCCUGAUCCAGCCAUGCCGCGUGUGUGAAGAAGGCCCUCGGGUUGUAAAGCACUUUCAGUGAGGAAGAACGCCUGGUGGUUAAUACCCAUCAGGAAAGACAUCACUCACAGAAGAAGCAGCGGCUAACUCCGUGCCAGCAGCCGCGGUAAUACGGAGGGUGCGAGCGUUAAUCGGAAUUACUGGGCGUAAAGCGCGCGUAGGUGGCUUGAUAAGCCGGUUGUGAAAGCCCCGGGCUCAAACUGGGAACGGCAUCCGGAACUGUCAAGCUAGAGUGCAGGAGAGGAAGGUAGAAUUCCCGGUGUAGCGGUGAAAUGCGUAGAGAUCGGGAGGAAUACCAGUGGCGAAGGCGGCCUUCUGGACUGACACUGACACUGAGGUGCGAAAGCGUGGGUAGCAAACAGGAUUAGAUACCCCUGUAGUC